GUGACAGCGGACGGAUCGGUAAUUUAAUAAAGUGUGAAAUAACGACUCAUAAUUGACGCAGCCGGUAGUCGUCUGGUUUUCGGAUCGUAAAAGCUAGAACGAUUUGUAGUACCGCCGUUCCUAUCACCAGGCGUCAACGACCUCACACACUUACACGAUCUACGCAGUAAGUCAAGUAAGUUAAGUAAGUUUUUUCGUGUAAGCGUCUCGCGUGUUGGCUACGUUUGGCGUACGUUUAGUGAAGCGAGAGCCGAACAGUUUAACCGUUCGCUCCUAAUGUGGAGAAAUACCCAGUCAGAAGCGACUAUUACAGACAAUUCUUCAGAAGAAUCAUCACUCAGUCCUUUGCCUUGCGACCGAAGCGUUUUCGAUCUUCACACUGAUAAGCUCACCGUAGAUAGCACAAUGGCAGAGGUAAAAGAACUUACGGAACAGAUUAAAAGUCUAACUGGUGUGAUUUGCCAGAUUGGUGAAAAGUUAGAAAGAGGUGCGGCUCAACAAAAUCACACCUGUGUUAAACAGAGAUGACAAUAAAGGCCAAGCAACAGAAACAGCAGAUUUUGGAAGCAUGUUCAAGAAACCCGAUCCCAUUAAAAUGUUACCGUCGUUUAAUGGGAAUAAAAAGCAAUUGGCUUGUUGGCUAAAUACAGCUGAAGAAACGCUACAAAUUUUUGAAAACGUUGUGUCACCGCCUUGUAGGAACGUAGUAUGUAUGAGGGUUAGUUGGUAAGCAACCACGGGACGAGGCGGUUGAAUAAAUGGAAGAACUCUACAAUUUAACGCAGCCGGUACGAUAUGUUUUGUUAGUCAGUUUUGGUAGUUGAAAUAUAUGUGAGAAGGAGAACAAACAGAGAAAAAGUGGUAAGAGUUUGGUAUGAAAUUAAUUAUUAUCGUUGUUGUAAAGUGUUAACUUGAGAGGAAGACAGGCGUUGGUACAAGGAUGGAACGUUUUAUUGGUAUGUGUGAAAUGAUUUGGGACCGGCUAAACACCGAAACGAACAAUACCUGUAUGAAGGAUACGAAACGAAAAGAUGUGGGACCGGUUUAGAGCCGAAGCAUACAAGGCACUACUACUACUACUGCUGAAAAAAGAGAGUGAGAUUUUACUGAUCAGAGUCAAAAGAUGCGGGACCAGCUAAAUACUGUAGCGCACAAUACAGGUAUGAGGAAGGGAAAAAUAUGUGAUGGAUUGAUGACCAAAGCACAAAGUUAUCACCAAUGCAAAUAUGGAGUAUGGUAUUGUUCUUUGGAAGUGGGAGACAAAAUUCCAGAAGGAACUGUCCAGUCGUGCAGUAAGGUCGUAAAAGUGUAGUCACUCGAGUAAAUUAAAAAAAAAA